rnacentral:pre_miRNA from 14 species
UCUUCGGAGACGAAGGUGGUCGCUGAUCUCGGACGAACCCCCAAAUGAAAGACCCCCGGAGCGGGGAGACCCUCACUCAAGUCUCAGGAUGAUGCGACCCCCCAAGAACUCACGUGAGACC